UUGUGAUUAAAGCGGAUUGUAAUGCAGCGGUAACAAAACCGAUCGAGUUGUAAAUAAAGCAUAUUGUAUAAUGUAUAUGUCCAAUGGCAUUUGGUUGUAAAUAUUCUAGUUCACAAAGGGUUAUUUUAAAAAGCUAGUGAGAGUGGCUUAGGUGAUGACACCUAGGAAAUGGCACUCAUGUAAUAAACACAUGAGGCUAAGGUUUAUUUGUGAUGAUGUUUCUCCUUUAAUAAGAAAGGGAUUUCUAAGUGUAUUUUCUGGUUAAUCACAUUCCCCCCCCCCCCACACACACACAUAUAUAUAUAUAUAACAAAAUCUUAAAACCCGGUUGAACCGGUUGUACCGGUUCAACCAGUCACCCAGUAACAAUACCGAGUCGAUGUCCGGUCCGGUUUUCAAAACAUUGGUUUUUUGUUAAAGAGAGAAAUGGAAGUUCAUUUUACAUUUUAUAUACAUAUUCACAAAGUGUAGUUUUAUAAAGCAUGUUAUCACAGAUAUUUUUUUCAUAACCUUACGUCAAGAAAAUCAGUUUUAAAGCACAUAUUGUGGAACCAAGCAUAAUAGCAGAUUUCUAAUUAGUUUUAUUUGAGUCUGGUUUGGAAUUAAGAAACCUAAUGGAAUGAACAUAAUAUCAGUUUUCUUUUUGGACGGCAAACGAAAAGUCAAUAUAUCAUUCUCCAAUAAAUAAGAAAAUUACUUGCACAUACAUAUAUAAGUGAUUUAAAUUUUCUUGGUGAAACAUUGACUUAUUAAGAAACCGAGUAUUUGGCUCCAAAUGGUAACAACGGAUUGAGCGGGACGGGACAAGCGGUUUGACUGUGGUGCGGUUCUGACAGUUAUAAAAACGUAUAGAUAUAUGGUAUAUGUAGAGAUUUUUGUUACUGUUAACUGCGGUGCGGUGCGGAACGAAUGUUACCAAAUUGUGAAAUUUAAAUUAAACACAAACAAACAUUUUUACCAAAUUGAAAUCGUACCUGUAAUAUGAUAUUAAUGACGUACGUUCUCGAAAUGUGUUAACUAUCAACUGGGAAAUAAUAAAGAUUUUUCUUUUGACCAGGGAAAUCAAAAGAAACAUAAUUAUUUUUGCAUGUACUUUUAUUGUAGUAUUAUAUGUAUUUUUAGGAUUACAUUUUGGAAAAGCUUAAAUAUUUUUUUGAAAAAUUAAAAUUUUACCUAUAUAUGUUUAUUUCUGUGUAUAGUAAACACUUUUUAAGUUAAGUUUGAUUUUAUGAAGUGUUUAGUUAAUUAAUUUAGUUUAGGGAUUAGGUUUAAGGUCUAGACGACUAACAUGUAAGUCGUAUGACGAUUAGAAGUGAUAAUACCAAACUUUAUAUUAAUUUAUUGUUUUUGUCUCAUGUUUUUCUUAGUAGUUUAUCUUGUUUUGCAGGUUUUUAUCACAUGGUUCUCAUCUUCCACUCAUUUAAAGGUAUAUCUAUUAAUUUUAGAUAUGUAUUUUUGUGUGUUCUAUAAAGGAAAAUCUAUCUAAUCUUCCACUCAUUUUCUCUGUUUUAAACCAUUUGAACGUUUUUUAUAUGUAGGUUUUUCAGAUCUGAGCUUGAUAUACAUGUUUUUUCAGAUCUGGAAUAGACUUUAGGAGUCUUCUCAGAAGUCUUAUAAAAUAUAAUGCGCUAGUAGAAAACUACUGGGAAGUCUUCCAGGUCUCGCAAAGUCUUCUAAAAUAUAAUGUGCUAGAAAACUUAUUGGAAGUUUUCUGACGGAACUCUUCUGACGGAAGUCUUCUAACGGAGUUUUCUUCCAUAUCAAGUGGAGUCCAAACUUUUCUUUGUAGAUGAUUGAUCUAUAAUAGUUUUUUUUUGUGAUCUGUUUUAUGAUUUGCAUGUGUAUUUGUUUAGUUGUAAUUUUUUUUGUAAGUUUGAAGAGAUAUUAAUAAAAUAAUUUGGUAAAUAUGUUCAUACCACAAUAUUAUCUUGCCAAAGUUACUUGAUAUAACUGAAGUUAUUGAUACAACUUCAAUAUCAAAACACAAUAACACAAAAAAUCAAUCAAAUUUUAUUACAAGUUUACAACCAAGGAAGAAGAACUCUCAAGAAAAAUUAGUGAAAUUCACAAAAGAUAAACCAUUACAUAAGUUCAAAGGUAGAACACUUUCAUUAGAAGUUUUCCGGGAAGUGUUCUCGGAAGACUUAGAUUUAAAGCGGAAAAUUGAAAUAUAAGCGGCAAAUUUAAGCGAAAAAAUUAAAAUUUAAGCAGGAAACUCAAAAUUUUAAGUGAAAAUUAAAAUUUCAAAUUUCUUGAAAGUUAAAAAGUAUAUCUUAUGAUCUAAGAAGACACAUUAAACCAUGUUACUUGAUAUUCUUGAAGCUACUUAACACUUUUGAAAAUUAAAUAAACAUAUCUUAAAGUUACUUAACAAAUUUACAAAAACUAAUGUAGAAGACUUCCAUGAACGUCUUCUGGAAACAUUAAUACACAUGAAUGUUGGUAAACUCAUAAUUAAAACCAAUUAAAUUAUAAAUUUCAUUCAGGAGCACAAAUAUCGACUAAUAUACAUGAGUUAACAAAACAAUAUUAAAAAGUCUUUAUAGUUUUAGAAAAAAUGAAAAUUUAUUAAACAUUGACGCAGACUACUUCCACAGAGGUCGUCUGGUAGACAUCUAGAAAGUCGUCCAUUUGUGUUAGUUUUGCAAUUUAUUUUUAACCUAUACGACUUACAUGGAAAUCGUCCAUCUUUGUUUGUUAAAAGAUAAUUCGAGACGACUUUCAUGUAAGUCGUCUAGGAUAAACGAGUUAGUUUCGCAAUUGACCGGAUUGUGUCAGAAAUUUGACUUUUUUCACACAUAAGUCGUCCAGUAGAUAAUUAAAAGAUCAAUAUUUUGCUAUACCUAGACGACUUCCAUAUAAGUAAUCUCUGGUUAGUUUUGCAAUUGAAAAAUAAAACAAAAAAAAUAUCUUUUUCUAGACGAUUUGCACGGAAGUCGUCCGUCCGACGACGACUUACCAGGAAGUCGUCCGUCCGACGACGUACAAGGAAGUCGUCCGUCCGACGACUUACAAGGAAGUCGUCCGUCCGACGACUUACAAGGAAGUCAUCCAAAAUAAACAAGGUUUGACCAAAAUCUCGGAAUAAAGUCGUGGACGACUUUCUUGUAAAUCGUCUAAAAGACAAGUUUCGUGUAAGUCAUCUAACAGAUGACUUCCGUGUAAGUCUUCUAGAGAAACAUAUGAUGCUAAUUAAUAGGUUGAAUAUAUAUAUGGUUUCUUUUUUGGAGUUGGAACAUAUGAUGCUAAUUAAUUAGAUAAUUUUUAAUUUAUUAAAUUUCUUUUGUGAUUUUGGCUAAUAUGAUAUAUAUAAUUGUGGUAUAUGCUUACAAUAUCUGGGUAGAAAACAAUUGUCAGAGCUUAAGCUGAUUGGUUGUAAAUGCUUUUCAUGAAAACUAUAAAAAUGAUUUUGUAUUUGAUAUUCCAUGAUCUUGAGAACUCUAAAUUUAUUUUGUUGCCAUAAUUAUUAUUCGGUUGGUUUGUAUUGCUUAGAAGCAAUAUGAUAAUAAUAGAUGGUUUGUAUUUAAUUUAUUUCAUGAUUAAUAUCUAUUUUAUUAUUUUAAUUAUUUUUAGAGUGGAUCAAGAUCAAAUUUGUAAAUAUUAGCAACCCGGAUAGUAAUAAUAAUUUUUUGAAUUUAACAAAGUGUGGAUCCAAAUCUAAGUACCAUAAGUUUCUAAAAUAUCAGAUUCGUUUUCAAAUUUAAUUGAUGUAUUUAACUUCAAAUAUUUAAAUUAACUAUUUAAAGAAAAUAUAUAGCAGUACGUAGUUUUAUGUAGGAAGGAGCAAGGAUCAAAACAGAAAAUAAAGUACUACAAGUUUACAGUUUCAACUUUCAAGUAAUAUUGAAAGAUUAAUUUGGUGAGGCAAGGCAACCAUAAAGUAUAUGAAUACAACAAAACUAAACCAUGCGUGAAUGGUAGACUGUGUGCUCAAAGCAUUUCAUCAUUCGGAUUUGACUUUGGUGUUUUACCUAUAGUAAGUUUCUUUGUCAAAACUUUUGUUAUCCUCCAAUAUUGGUCUAACGCUUAAGCAAUAUUUUAGUGAUUUUAAUUAACAUGUUUAUCAAAUCUAAACAUGAUUCACACUCAUUAGUUUAUAAAUAAGGAAAGCAUAUUUCAAAAAAAAUGUUAGCAAUUAUGGGUUUCUGACUAAAAAUUAAUUGAUGAUGAUACAUGAAUUGCUUUAUAUCAUUUACAACAUUAUUCAAAAUCCCAUUUUAAUUUCUUAUACGAUAAUGGAAGUAUGGGAGAAAUGUGUAGAAAGAAGAGUAGAGUUGAACUAAAGCAAUAUCAGUUAAAAGAGAAUAUUUGCAUAAGAAUUUUUUAUGAGUAAAAGAGAACAAAAGGCAAAAGAUCAGUGAGAAGAGAAUAUUUGCAUUUAAUUAAACAGAAAGAGAACGAUACACGCCUUCCACAAAUAAAGAAAAAUCAGAUUUUCAUUUUGUAUAUAUUUUCCGCAUUAAUUCAAAAUAUCUGGCGGACUGAGACCUAACCGACUAAUCCUUGAAAAUUUACCUACCGGUGCCAAACAUAUCUGAUUACAAACGGAUAUAUCUGAAAUGAAACAUUUCGAAUUCAGGGUGAUCAACAUCAUUUUAUGCUUACUUUACCAUUCGACCAUGUUUAUGUGAUUAAUUUAUUUUUCUAUAUUUUUGUUUGGUUGUUUACAACAUACCUUUUGUUUUACGCUACGAAAUAAAAAUGUUCGUCUGAUGUAGGAAAAGGAAAGAAACAAAACAAAGAGGGACAUACAGUAGUUGGUUGCAACAGAAAACAAUGGCACAAUAUUGUCGUUUUCUUAAGCCAAAGGUUUAAGACAUCUCACAUCUGAAACAGUUUGUGGCCUAACUUAAGCAACAAGCAUUACAAGUUAUACAAUACUCAUCAGUAAUUAAACAAAUGGAAAUAUUUUAAGUCUGGACUCAUCAAUAGUUAAACAAAUGUUUAUUUCAAUUAGGUUUGUUUAAGCGUUCUUUUUUUUUUUGAAAGAAUUUUAAAUUUAUUCACUUCAAAAAAUCUUUGUACAAGCUAUACUAUUUUCUAUUGACAAAAAAAAUAAAACCUAUAAAUUGAAAAGAGAAGAAUUUGAUAAGAGUCAACCACUCCCAAACCACAACUCCAUUGUCUUCUCAUAUUUACUUCCAGGUUUCUUCCUCAAUGAAGAGAUUCUGUUUCGAAUUUGCUUGUCCAAAUAAGUGAUUAGUCGAGAAGAAGUUUGAGGAGGCUCUCCUACCCGACGUUUGUUUCUUUCAUACCAAAUGGCAUACGCAACUGCUUGAAAGCAAUAUAGAACUAAGAAGGUUGUGGUUCUGUCUUGGAAACCAUUGACCAGACAUUGCAACAAAGGCGGCCAUUGAACUGUUACUCCCAUUACCAGACCUUUGAUCGUACCCUGCAGAACCUCCCCUGAGAAAGCACAUUAAAAAAAUAAAUGGUCUCUCGACUCCAUUCCAGAAUUACACAGCCAACAACAAGCAGCGGCUUGAGUGAUUUGCAACACGGAUGCGGCAUGGUCAAAAGAAACAGAGACGGCUGGCUUAGGAUGGAUGUUCGACAGUCCUGAUCCAGCUACGAGACAAUGCAUGUCCACAACACGCCAUGCGGUGUCCUCACCACUGAUGGCGGAUGCACUGGCUAUGCGUGAAGCCCUCCAAGCAGCAAAGCAAGGUCUCCUCUCCAACGUCUGGUUUCGAACCGACUCCCAAGAUAUCAACUCGAAGUCCUAUUCAGUGGAGCUCUAUGGAGUUCUCUCUGAUAUCGAGUUUCUAUCCCGAUCUUUUGUUUCUGUGUUUUUUUCUUAUGUUCCUCGUUCUCAGAACUUGACUGCAGACUCUUUGGCAAAAAACGCUCUGCGUACGGCCGCUACUUUGUACUAGCCUCUUAUUCAAUAUUAAUCUUCUGGUGUUCAAAAAAAAGUUAUAACUGAUUAGCACUUAAUCUUGUUAAUUUAAAUAUUGUAUCAAGCGAGCAUAAUUUAAAUAUUGUAAGCUUUGAACAUUUGUUAAUAAUUUACUGAAUACAUUGAGCAUUUGGAGAAGAUGAAGUUUGGUGCAUUGUUAACGUCAUUAAGAAUUUGUACCUCAAUCAUUUAAAACCCAUCUAUGACUAUAUUUUAGUAGUUACAAAUUUUCAACCGCAGAAUCUUGUAUCAAGCAAGCAUAAUUUAAAUAUUGUUUUCAAAACACAAUAAGUCAUAGAAUCUUGGAAGACGUUUGUAACAGUCAAAAUUGACAUGAACUUGAUAUUCAUUUAAAAUCAGAAACUGGAAAGAUGAUAUUAGUUUACUAUAGAGUAACACUUCCGAGACGUGAAUGAGUUAUAGACGUUUAUGUCUUUGACCGAAGAACAAAAGUAUUCAUUUCAAGUCAUGAGUUGGCUCGAUGAUAUUAGUUCAUUUGGUUAUAGAGUAGAUAUAGAGUAGAUAUCGAGAUGUGUUUCUAAUAUUGUUUUCUACUUAAUAUUAAGAUUAUUAAUGAUUGAAAAACGUAAUGUGAUCAAUUCUAAUAGAUGGUCCAUUUUAAAAUAUCGUACAUUAAAGAGUCAUGACUUCUCUUUUAAUAGAUUAGAUUAAGUUUUAUUUGGUGUUUUACAUAAAUACAUAAAUACUACGUUCUUAUGACAUGCUUUAUAUAGUCAGUGGCUUGCGCAUCUUCCUCUCAAUUCUCUAGACUAUAUUUUCUUCAGCAGCUUUUUGCUACAUACAGAAUUGAUAAAGAUUCUCAAGUUUAUAGCAAAUGGCUAUAUACUUUGUGCAUCUAAUCUUUCCCAACUAAUAAUCACCACAAAAUGCAUCUAAUAAUAACCACUGAGAAGUCCAAAUGUUAAAUUCAGGUGUUCCGAAAUGUCCCAUAUCAACUCGUACGUCCCCAUUGUUGGGAUUGUUAAAGCCCAUGUCCAACUCUGUAUUAUCUGAUUAGUACGAUAUUGUCCACUUUGGGUCUAAUUGGCAAGCCUGCAUGGAUUUACUUUUCGUUUUCUUUCCAAAAUGUCUCGUACUAUUAGAGUUGGACAUCUCUUUAUAUAUUAGACACUUUUUGUCUAAUUCUCCAAUGUGGGACUUAGUUUGUUAUCUCACAUUCUCUCCCUCAAACUAAGGAUCACAUUCAUCUCGUGAUCCACAACUGACUUCCAGUAUCUUUUGACUUGAUCUCUGCCACACACCUCUCGUUCCUAACUCAUAGGAUACCAUUCAUCUCUCGAAGGGUAUAUUGGUCUUUUGCAGAUUUCUCGUCAACCGCUCUGAUACCAAUUGUUAGGAUUGUUAAAGCCCAUGUCUCCCCAUAUACACAUCACUGUCCCCUCAUUGUUCGAGACGUCUUGGAGAUGUUUAUGAGCCGUCCCAAUGCUGUCAUGUUUUCGUAACGUCUCCCGUAUGUGAGAGGGCUAGUGAUAGACGUACCCGUGCAUCCUAGCCACUAAACCAAAAUGUCCAUUAGUUUUAACGGCGCAUACGGCUUUAUACUUCUCCGGCAAACUUUACUUUCAUAUAUAGUCCGGAAGUUACACACAUUGACUUAGUCAAGAACGUCCCCCCAUUCCACGACGGCCAGAAACGUUUCCGAAAUUGACGGUGGACAGAUAUAAAGCAUCGUCUAGGAGGAUACUUAUAUGAUAAGAGCUACUCACAUCACAUUGUUCCUUAAAACGAUGUCGAAUUAUAAGCUUAGACCAUCUCCAAUGGAGGUUCUCCCCAUUGGGAUUCUUAAUAUAUGUAUUAUAUGUAUAUAUAUGUAUGUAUAUAUUAUAUAUGUGUAAAUAAUUGUGGACCUUAUUGUGGAACCCCAUAAAUAAGAGUUCUUAAGGAUUCUUAAAACCUUUUUUUAAAAACCCGUACCUAUUUUGUAGAACCCUACAAUUACUUAUACAUAUAUAAUAUAUACAUAUAUACAUAACACAUAUAUUAAGAACUCCAAUGGAAAGAGCCCUCAUUGGAGGUGCUCUAGAACCGGAGUCAGUGGGGGAGGCAGCAUGUUGCACAUGGGUCAUUUUUUUAAUUAGAUAUAUCUCUUUGAAAAAUUUAGAAAAUCAUAUAAAAUUAGUUAAUUGACCCAUAUUAAUAUAUAUAUUAAUUCUAAACUGACCCUCCUAAAAUUUUCUCUUGGCUCCGCCACUGACCGGAGUGACAAGUCUAUAAGCUGAGAGAUCAUUGUUAUUGUAAUUGAUAUCGGACCAAUUUGAUCCUAAGAUUUUUCUAGCGACCACAAGACGUGUUCAAGGAUCGCUCCGAGGCCAAUAUGGAAAUUCUGGGAGUUAAGCUCCAUAUCACCGGACACUGCCACACGGGAACCUAACAGCGUCAAGAUUUAUGCUGGAAUGGUUAGACGGGAGAUGAAUACGCUGAAGAAUGUUGGUUUUUGAAAGAGUUUAGAGUGUAAUUACCUGGGAGGAGAAGAAAAAAAAAUUCCUGGGUGGAGAUCGAGAAGCCUUGAAGAUUCCUUGCAAGGUUUUUGAGUAGUAUAGCUAGUUGAGAUCGAACCUUUUAGAUGAGUAGGAAGGAAUGGAAAUUAUAAUGUAAAUAUUAUAAAAAUUUGUAUGUCAAUGACUUCACAGUUGGUUGUUACUGUGAAAAGAGAGGUGGUUUCACAUGAUGAGCAUUUUGCUUUCUUCCUUUUUCCUCAAUUUAAAGCCUUCUAAAAUUUCUUGAGCCACUAAUAGCAUGGCUUUAUUUUAUAUAUUUCCUUUCAAUGGUUAAAUAUUAAGACUACUAAAACUUUACAGAGGGGGUUUAUCUUGUGUUCCAAACCAAGGAUGCUGAAAUACUUUAUCCAUAAGCUAGCCAAUAUAUUAAUCUGACAGAAAAUCCGAUUUCGUUUAAUUUCGAUAGGAAAAGUCGUAGAGCAACGAAACUGAAGUCUGAAUGACUCGAUCAAAAAAAAAGAAGUUCAACAUUUUUGGAAAUCAGAUCUUCCCAUUUACAGUUUUAAAACAGUAUAAUGCCAAAAGAAAACAUCAUAUCAUUUCAUUAUAAGUUAAAUAGUCAUACACCCCCAAAUCUAAGCAUAGAUAUAUACCACGUCUUACAAUGCCACAUAAUGAAGUCAAAUAAAUAAAUUAUUCCAUGAUUACAAAUACAUCAAUAAGUUUACAUUAACAAGAUUUUCCGCUUAAAUGAGAAGGAUAAUUAAUGAGACGGGGAAGAAGGGGAAGGAGAAGGAGACUUGAGAUCAAGAACACUGGAAUCGACAUUGCGGUAUAUGAAAUGUGCAAUAGGUUCCGUACAAUAAAAGUGGCAUGUGUCGAAGCAACGUUUUUGAUCGUGAUACCUAGGCAUACAUUUCUUCAUCAUACAAUAUUUGGUGCAUGAAUCUCUAUCGAGCGAGCUUCUCGUUAACGUUUUCUUUCCAAUAGAUUUAGUUGAAGAGAUAUUUUCACCGUUUAAGCAAGUCGCACUCAUUAACAUAGCCACCACUAUGAAUAAUAUUAUCAUCUUCUCGUUAAUUCCUUUUGUAUCCAUUUUCUUUUUUAAACAGUUUUUUUUCUUUUAAUUUGUUUUUGAUUAAAAAGGAAUGGAUUGUGGGUUGCUAUAGUAAGGGUUUUGAGGAACUUAUAUAUGUGACUGUUUUAACUAUUUUUGUGUACUAAUAACAAAUAACUAAUUAUAGAGCUUUUUCUAUUCUUUGUUAUUCACUACUGUCUAUGGCUUAUUGACUUAAUAUAUUUUCUUGGAUUGUACAGAGUGAAACAGAGGUGACAAUUACUGAUUUAUUGUUUUUUAUUUAUUUUCCAGUAGUGACUGAUUUUUUAUUUAUAGAAAAUGUUGAUUGGUUGCAGUUAAGUUUGUUAUAUUUUUUCUUUGUUAGAUCCUAUGUAUUUGUGUAUGACAUUAAUCAGAAUGAAGUGUAGCAAUAACGUUAGAAAAAAACAUGGGCAUGAUUGGUUGAGACUUUAACUUUAGGUUGUAGUAUUUUAGGUGUUUUGUUACAAAAAAAGGUAAUUUAGGUGUUUUUAUUAUUUUUCUCUGUAGAAUUAUUUCCGAAAGCAUUCAAAUCACUAAUUAAAAAUUAUAGAAAAUUUAAAGUUUAGAAAUAAUAUAUUUGUCUUUACUCCCUCCAUUUCAAAAUGAUUCAUGUUUUAGAAUAUGUUUUCAAAAAUAUAUUUUAAAUUUUCAAUGUACUUAUUAUUAGGUAAUAAUGGUAAAUUAUAAACUUCAAAAAUUAAUUUUGUUUAUUAAAUUUUUAAUGGCUAAAACUUAUAGAACAUAGUUAAUGAAAAAUAAUGCACUUAGAAUAAUAAAAACUUUAAUUCUUUUCUAAUAUGUUUGAAGAACUCCACAUACAUUUUUUGAAACAGAAGAAGUAUAAUAUUUUGGUGUAAAUUCGUUUCUAAAAGUAAACAUAAUCAAAUUAUAAUAAAGUUGUAGAAGUAAAACUGGAGUUCCACAUCUUCUGCACAUAGCUGAUCCUGAUUAUUUGGAAGCAAAUAAACAAAAAAAACAAAUUGAGGACUUAAAUAGUUCAUAAAAUUGUAUCUUCAAACAAAAAGAACUUAACCUAAAAAUUAAUAUUAUCUCUUAUUGCUUUUAUUACUUUUCUUAUAUUAAAAUAAUGAAAGUAGUAUUUAAAGUUUAUUUGUUUCUACAUUUUAAAGUAUAUUUCACAUCUUCUAAUGUUUCACUUGUUGUAGUUGCAAGCCGAUGACCGGAGGUUUCUAUAGCUUCGACAUCGGCUUAGUUGAUUUGUUUUGCUUUGGUUCCUUAAAUUUAUUUUAAAUCUAACAAAGUAUUUCAUUGUUAUUCAAAGUGUUUCAUCCAACAUAGUAAAACCAUACCUACUUCUGCAACUCUCCCAAUCAAACCUUAUAUCACUAUUUUUGUUGUCCUAUUCAAUUAACCUCAAAUGACUAUAGCAUUUGCUGUGGGAUUGAAACUUUUUAAUAAAUAAAAAAACCAAAGCUGUAUAUGUGCUAGUACAUAAACUAAUAAUUUUUUGUUAGUUUUAGAUAUAUUUGUUUAAAUUAUUUGGAUAUUUUCAAAAUAUAACUCAUAAAUUAAUAAAUGAUUAAUGAAAUUAUCAAUACUAUCUUGUGACCAAACAAAAACUAGAAGGUCCUUUCACGAUUUCAUCCUUACGAAGUCAACUAUUAAUAAAAAAAAUCUACUAGAGAAGAGCUAGUGAUUGGUGAUGGAUGUGAGUGCUCUACACAUCUAUAGUGCUCUCUACAUCAAUAAAAGCAAAACAAUCAAGUUUUAUUAAAAAAAAUUAAAGUUACAGCCAAAAAUCUUAAAAAUAAAAUAUAUUGGAUGUAGAAAUCAACUUUUUUUGGAGCUUUAUAUUUAGUGCUUUUAAUUCUCUGAAAUAAUUCUACAAAAAUAAAAUCUAAAGUUACAAAAUCUACAACUUAAAUUUGACAGCAAAAAAUUCAAAACUACAGACACUGCCAAUCAAUCUCAUUAUCUAUAACUUGACCAAACACAUUAACACAUUAACUUGACCCACAAAAAUGUAUUCUUGUGUUCAUAUCCUUGGGUGAGUGAACCUAAAGAUUCACCCUUUAAAUAUGAUAACCAAUAAAAUGUUGCCACGUCAUAUUUUGUUUAUGAAAAUAAAAAAUAGAAAAUAAUAUUAAUUGCCAAAAAACUUUUGACAAUAUAAAACUGUAAACUCUAAACUGUAUAACUCAAGUUCUAAACCCUAAAUCCUAUGAUUAACACUAAACCCUAUAACUCAAAUUAUAAAUACUAAACCUUAAACCCUGAUGUUAACCCUAAACCUAGGGUAGUCCCAAAGCCCUAGGGUUAUCCCUAAACCCUAGGGUAGUCCCAAAGCCCUAGGGUUAUCCCUAAACUCUAGGAUUUAAAGUUUAGGAUCUAGAAUUUUUAGGGUUUAGGGUUUUGUUGACGGCAUUUACAAUUUGGAGUUAACUAUUUUUCCGUAGAAGGAGGAGGAAGAGAAAACUCUAAACCCUAAACGAUGUCAUCAAAACCCUAAACCCUAAACUCUAAACCUGAGGAAUUAAAGUUUACCCUAGGAUUUAGGGAUAAUCAUAGGGUUUAGGAACAUCUCUAGGGUUUAAGGAUAAUUUUAGGGUUUAGGGUUUAGUAUUUAAAAUUUGAGCUAUAGGAUUAAGUGUUAACCCUAGAGUUUCGAAUUUAGAAUUUGAAUUAUAAAGUUUAAGGUUUAGUAUAAUGUCAAAUUUUUUUUUUGCAACUAUUAUUUUUUUUUUCUCAAUUUCUGUUUCCAUAAAUAAAAUACGACGUGGCAGCAUUCUAUUGGUAAUCACUUAAGGACUGAACCUAUAGAAUAACUAGAAAAAACACAUUAACUUGACCAAACACAUAUGCACAUUUUCUAUCCAUAACCAGUCCAGAGAGCUAUCUCAGCCGAUAUAUCCAUUUUUUUAUAUUCUUCCAAGUAAAGAGCUGUAGUUUAUGAUGAAUUAGUGAAGAUGACAGGAAACAAUUCAUAAAAAUACUCUAACUAAAUUUUAUUAAGCUUUUUAAUACCUAAACUUUUUUUGUACCCAGUUUAAUAACCCAACUUAUUAUUUUAAUACAUAAACUUUUAAAAUUGUACCCCUUUUAAUACCUGAACUUUGUUUAUCUUAAUUGAAAAUACUAAUAAGUUUCAAACGAAAUUUAUAAAAUCUCUUAAAUCUAAGACAAAUAUUAAUUUUUUAAAUUUUUUUAAGAUUUAGAAAAGUACGUACAGAAAUUAGUGAGAAAAUUUUAAAUUUUAAUUUUUAAGGAAAAUAAAUAAAUUUGUUUUCUAUUUCAGAAAACAAACUAAAUCAAUAGUUAAAACUUAAAACUUUGAUGGAAAAAAUUAAGGUUAUACACAAUUUGGUAAACUUUUAUUUCUUGGUGUUGAGCUCCAUAUCACCGGAGACUGCCACACGGGAACCCAACAGCGUCAAGAUUUAUGCCGGAAUAGUUAGACGGUAGAUGAAUAAUUGAAUACGCCGAAGAAUGCAAGUCUUACACGAGUAAUGCUGGUUUUUGAAAGAGUUUAGAGUGUAAUUUCCUGGAAGGAGAUCGAGAAGCCUCUUGAAGAUUCCUUGCAAGGUUUUUGAGUAGUAUAACUAGUUGAGGUCAAACCUUUUAGAAAAGUAGGAACGAAUGGAAAUUAUAAUGUAAAUAUUAUAAAAAUUUGUAUGUCAAUGACUUCACAAUUGGUUGUUACUGUGAAAAGAGGGGUGGAUUUCACAUGAUGAGCAUUUUGCUUUGUUCAUUUUUCUUCAAUUUAAUUAAGCCUUCUAAAAUUUCUUGAGCCACUAAUAGCAUGGCUUCAUUUUAUAUAUUUCCUUUCAAUGGUUAAAUAUUAAGACUACUAAAACUUUACAGAGGGGGUUUAUUUUGUGUUCCAAACCAAGGAUGCUGAAACACUUUAUCCAUAAGCGAGCCAAUAUAUUAAUCUGACUGAAAAAUCCAAUUUUGUUUAAUUUCGAUAGGAAAAGUCGUAGAGCAACGAAACUGAAGUCAGAAUUACUCUAUCAAAAAAAAGAAGCUCAACAUUUUUGGAAAUCAGAUCUUCCCAUUUACAGUUUUAAAACAGUAGAAUGCCAAAAGAAAACAUCAUAUCAUUUCAUUAUAAGUUAAAUAGUCAUACACCCCCAAAUCUAAGCAUAGAUAUAUACCACGUCUUACAAUGCCACAUAAUGAAGUCAAAUAAAUAAAACAAAUUAUUCCAUGAUUACAAAUACAUCAAUAAGUUUACAUUAACAAGAUUUUCCGCUUAAAUGAGAAGGAUAAUUAAUGAGACGGGGAAGAAGGGGAAGGAGAAGGAGACUUAAGAUCAAGAACACUGGAAUCGACAUUGCGGUAUAUGAAAUGUGCAAUAGGUUCCGUACAAUAAAAGUGGCAUGUGUCGAAGCAACGUUUUUGAUUGUGAUACCUAGGCAUACAUUUCUUCAUCAUACAAUAUUUGGUGCAUGAAUCUCUAUCGAGCGAGCUUCUCGUUAACGUUUUCUUUCCAAUAGAUUUCGUUGAAGAUAUAUUUUCACCGUUUAAGCAAGUCGCACUCAUUAACAUAGCCACCAUUAUGAAUAAUAUUAUCAUCUUCUCGUUAAUUCCUUUUGGAUCCAUUUUCUUGUUUAAACAGUUUUUUUUCUUUUAAUUUGUUUUUGAUUAAAAAGGAAUGGAUUGUGGGUUGCUAUAGUAAGGGUUUUGAGGAACUUAUAUAUGUGACUGUUUUAACUAUUUUUGUGUACUAAUAACAAAUCACUAAUUAUAGAGCUUUUUCUAUUCUUUGUUAUUCACUACUGUCUAUGGCUUAUUAACAUAAUAUUUUUUCUUGGAUUGUACAGAGUGAAACAGAGGUGACAAUUACUGAUUUAUUGUUUUUUAUUUAUUUUCCAGUAGUGACUGAUUGUUUAUUUAUAGAAAAUGUUGAUUGGUUGCAGUUAAGUUCGUUAUAUUUUUUUCUUUGUUAGAUCCUAUGUAUUUGUGUAUGACAUUAAUCAGAAUGAACUGUAGCAAUAACGUUAGAAAAAAACAUGGGCAUGAUUGGUUGAGACUUUAACUUUAGGUUGUAUUAUUUUAGGUGUUUUGUUACAAAUAAGGUAAUUUAGGUGUUUUUAUUAUUUUUCUCUGUAGAAUUAUUUCCGAAAACAUUCAAAUCACUAAUUAAAAAUUAUAGAAAAAUUAAAGUUUAGAAAUAAUAUAUUUGUUUUUACUCCCUCCAUUUCAAAAUGAUUCAUGUUUUAGAAUAUUUUUUCAAAAAUAUAUUUUAAAUUUUCAAUGUACUUAUUAUUAAGUAAUAAUGGUAAAUUAUAAACUUCAAAAAUUAAUUGUGCUUAUUAAAUUUUUAAUGGCUAAAACUUAUAGAACAUUGUUAAUGAAAAAUAAUGCACUUAGAAUAAUAAAACUUUAAUUCUUUUCUAAUAUGUUUGAAGAACUCCAAAACAUACAUUUUUUUAAACAUAAGAAGUAUAAUAUUUUGGUUGUAAAUUUGUUUCUAAAAUUAGAUUCGUUUCUAAAAUUAAACAAAAUCAAAUUAUAAUAAAGUUGUAGAAGUGAAAGUGGAGGUCCACAUCUUCUGCACAUAGUUGAUCCUGAUUAUUUGGAACCAAAUAAAAAAAAAACAAAUUGAGGACUUAAAUAGUUCAUAAAAUUGUAUCUUCAAACAAAAAGAACUUAACCUAAAAAUUAAUAUUAUCUCUUGUUGCUUUUAUUACUUUUCUUAUAUUAAAAUAAUGAAAAUAGUAUUUAAAUUUUAUUUAUUUCUGCAUUUUAAAAUAUAUUCCACAUCUUCUAACGUUUCACUUGUUGUAGUUGCAAGCCGAUGACCGGAGGUUUCUAUAGCUUCGACAUCGGCUUGGUUGAUUUGUUUUGCUUUCGUUCCUUAAAUUUAUUUUAAAUCUGACAAAGUAUUUCAUUGUUAUUCAAUGUGUUUCAUCCAACCAUAGUAAAACCAUACCUACUUCUGCAACUCUCCCAAUCAAACCUUAUAUCACUAUUUUUGUUGUCCUAUUCAAUUAACCUCAAAUGUCUAUAGCAUUUGCUGUGGGAUUGAAACUUUUUAAUAAAUAAAAAAACCAAAGCUGUAUAUGUGCUAGUACAUAAACUAAUAAUUUUUUGUUAGUUUUAGAUAUAUUUGUUUAAAUUAUUUGGAGAUUUUCAAAAUAUAACUCAUAAAUUAAUAAAUGAUUAAUGAAAUUAUCAAUACUACCUUAUGACCAAACAAAAACUAGAAGGUCCUUUCACGAUUUUAUCCUUAUGAAAUCAACUAUUAAUAAAAAAAAUCUACUAGAGAAUAGCUAGUGAUUGGUGAUGGAUGUGAGUGAUCUACACAUCUACGGUUCUUCUCUCUACAUCAAUAAAAACAAAACAAUCAAUCUUUAUUUAAAAAAAUAAAAUUACAGCCAAAAAUCUUAAAAAUAAAAUAUAUUGGAUGUAGAAAUCAAUUUUUUUCUGGAGCUUUAUAUUUAGUGCUUUUAAUUCUCUGAAAUAAUUCUACAAAAAUAAAAUCUAAAGUUACAAAAUCUACAACUUAAAAUUGACAGCAAAAAAUUAAAAACUACAGACGCUGCCAAUCAAUCUCAUUAUCUAUAACUUGACCAAACACAUUAACACAUUAACUUGACCCACAAAAAUGUAUUCUUGUGUUCAUAUCCUAGGGUGAACCUAUAGAUUCACCCCUUAAAUAUGAUAACCAAUAAAAUAUUACCACGUCAUAUUUUGUUUAUGAAAAUAAAAAAUAGAAAAUAAUAUUAAUUGCCAAAAACAUUUGACAAUAUAAAACUGUAAACCCUAAACUGUAUAACUCAAGUUCUAAACCAUAAACCCUAUGAUUAACACUAAACACUAUAGCUCAAAUUAUAAAUACUAAACCUUAAACCGUAAUGUUAACCCUAAACCCUAGGGUACUCCCAAAGCCCUAGGGUUAUCCCUAAACCCUAGGGUAGUCCCAAAGCUCUAGGGUUAUCCCUAAACCCUAGGAUUUAAAAUUUAGGAUCUAGAAUUUUUAGGGUUUAGGGUUUUGUUGACGGCAUUUACAAUUUGGAGUUAACUCUUUUUCUGCAGAAGGAGAAGGAAGAGAAAACUCUAAACCCUAAACGAUGUCAUCAAAACCCUAAACCCUAAACUCUAAACUUGAGGAUUUGAAGUUUACCCUAGGAUUUAGGGAUAAUCAUAGGGUUUAGGGACAUCUCUAAAGUUUAGGGAUAAUUUUAGGAUGUAGGGUUUAGAGUUUAGGGUUUAGUAUUUAAAAUUUGAGCUAUAGAGUUAAAUUAGAAUUUGAAUUUUAAGAUUUAAGGUUUAGAAUUUUAUAUUGUCAAUUUUUUUGUAAUUAUUAUUAUUUUUUAUUUUCUCAAUUUCUGUUUCCAUAAAUAAAAUACGACGUGGAAGCAUUCUAUUGGUAAUCACUUAAGGACUGAACCUAUAGAAUAACUAGAAAAAACACAUUAACUUGACCAAACAUAUAUGCACAUUUUCUAUCAAUAACCAUUCCAGAGAGCUAUCUCAGCCGGUAUAUCCAUUUUUUUUAUUCUUGCAAGUAAAGAGCUGUAGUUUAUGAUGAAUUAGUGAAGUUGAUAGGUAAAGAUUCAUAAAAUUUUAUCAAGCUUUUUAAUACAUAAACUUUUUUGGGACCGAGUUUAAUAACCCAACUAAUUAUUUUGUUCAUUUUAAUACAUAAACUUUUAAAAUUGUAUCCCUUUUAAUACCUGAACUUUGUUUAUUUUAAUUGAAAAUACUAAUAAGUUUCAAACAAAAUUUAAAAAAUCUCUAAAAUCUAAGACAAAUAUUAAUUUUUUUUAUUUUUUUUAUAAGAUUUAGGAAAGUAGAUACAGAAAUUAGUGAGAAAAUUUUAAAUUUUAAUUUUUAAGAAAAAUAAAUAAAUUUGUUUUCUAUUUCAGAAAACAAACUAAAUCAAUAUUUAAAACUUUGAUGAAAAAAUUUAAGGUUAUACACAAUUUAGUAAACUUUUAUUUCUUGGUGUUGAGCUCCAUAUCACCGGAGACUGCCACACGGGAACCCAACAGCGUCAUGAUUUAUGCCGGAAUAGUUAGACGGUAGAUGAAUAAUUGAAUACGCCGAAGAAUGCAAGUCUUACACGAGUAAUGUUGGUUUUUGAAAGAGUUUAGAGUGUAAUUUUCUGGGAGGAGAUCGAGAAGCCUUGAAGAUUCCUUGCAAGGUUUUUGAGUAGUAUAACUAGUUGAGGUCGAACCUCUUAGAAGAGUAGGAACGAAUGGAAAUUAUAAUGUAAAUAUUAUAAAAAUAUGUAUGUCAAUGACUUCACAAUUGGCUACUGUGAAAAGAGGGGUGGAUUUCACAUGAUGAGCAUUUUGCUUUCUUCAUUUUUCUUCAAUUUAAUCAAGCCUUCUAAAAUUUCUUGAGCUACUAAUAGCAUGGCUUCAUUUUAUAUAUUUCCUUUCAAUGGUUAAAUAUUAAGAUUACUAAAACUUUACAGAGGGGGUUUAUUUUGUGUUCCAAACCAAGGAUGCUGAAACACUUUAUCCAUAAGCUAGCCAAUAUAUUAAUCUGACAGAAAAAUCCAAUUUUGUUUAAUUUCGAUAGGAAAAGUCGUAGAGCAACGAAACUGAAGUCUGAAUGACUCGAUCAAAAAAAAGAAGCUCAACAUUUUUGGAAAUCAGAUCUUCCCAUUUACAGUUUUAAAACAGUAGAAUGCCAAAAGAAAACAUCAUAUCAUUUCAUUAUAAGUUAAAUAGUCAUACACCCCCAAAUCUAAGCAUAGAUAUAUACCACGUCUUACAAUGCCACAUAAUGAAGUCAAAUAAAUAAAACAAAUUAUUCCAUGAUUACAAAUACAUCAAUAAGUUUACAUUAACAAGAUUUUCCGCAUGAAUGAGAAGGAUAAUUAAUGAGACGGGGAAGAAGGGGAAGGAGAAGGAGACUUAAGAUCAAGAACACUGGAAUCGACAUUGCGGUAUAUGAAAUAUGCAAUAGGUUCCGUACAAUAAAAGUGGCAUGUGUCGAUGCAACGUUUUUGAUUGUGAUACCUAGGCAUACAUUUCUUCAUCAUACAAUAUUUGGUGCAUGAAUCUCUAUCGAGCGAGCUUCUCGUUAACGUUUUCUUUCCAAUAGAUUUCGUUGAAGAUAUAUUUUCACCGUUUAAGCAAGUCGCACUCAUUAACAUAGCCACCACUAUGAAUAAUAUUAUCAUCUUCUCGUUAAUUCCUUUUGGAUCCAUUUUCUUGUUUAAACAGUUUUUUUUUCUUUUAAUUUGUUUUUGAUUAAAAAGGAAUGGAUUGUGGGUUGCUAUAGUAAGGGUUUUGAGGAACUUAUAUAUGUGAGUGUUUUAACUAUUUUUGUGUACUAAUAACAAAUCACUAAUUAUAGAGCUUUUUCUAUUCUUUGUUAUUCACUACUGUCUAUUAUGGUUUAUUAACAUAAUAUAUUUUCUUGGAUUGUACAGAGUGAAACAGAGGUGACAAUUACUGAUUUAUUGUUUUUUAUUUAUUUUCCAGUAGUGACUGAUUGUUUAUUUAUAGAAAAUGUUGAUUGGUUGCAGUUAAGUUUGUUACAGGGGUGAUUUGGUGAUAGAUGUGAAUGCUGUAAACAUCGAUAGUUCUUUCUAUAUCAAUAAAAUCAAAACAAUUUAUACUAUUAAAAAGAAGACUCUUUAUUUAGGAUUUUAUUUAGUUUCGAUCUGUGAUAAAUUAUGUAGCCAAAAACAUAAUUCAAUGACAUGUUUUGUGAAUAAAAUAAUAGUUUAAAUCAAAAUACUAAAAAUGCAUUACAUUUAUUGUCACUUAAUGUUUUACUCCAUAUAAUAAUUUUAAUAAAUAAAAACUCUUUUUAUUUCACUUAAUUUAGUCAAACACAUAAAAAUAUUCAUUUUUAUUAGUUUAUAAAAUCAGUUAUGCAUGAACAUUGGCUAUCGAUUUAGGUAUUGGUUAUUUUUUGGGUAUUGUUUUUUUUUUUUGAAAUUAGGCAUCGCUUGAAUAUUAUAAAUUUAUGUGUGGAUUUUGAGUUAGGUCUUUUUGAGUCUGUAUGAGUUCAGUUCUGAUGUAUAGGAACAUAAAAAUAUUUAAAUAACAAAUGUAUCUGAAAUAGAUUGAAAUAUUUGUAACAAAAUAAUCAUAUUACUCGAUUAGGUCCAGGUCUUUUGAAUAUAAUUAUUUAUAUUACGGCUCAUCUAAAAUAUAUAAUACUAAUUAUCCAAAACAAAUAUCAAUGUAUAAAAAUAUAAAAGUCAAUAUCCGCACGAAUGUGUAGAUCAAUCUCUAGUCAAGCUUUUAAAGCUACAAUCAAAAAUCUUUAAAAGAAAAUAUAUUGGAAGUAGAAAUCAAUUUUUCUAGAUUUUUAUAUUUAGUGCUUUUAAUUCUCUGAAGUAAUUCUACAAAAUAAAAUCUAAAGUUACAAAAUCUACAACUUAAAUUUGACAGCAAAAUAUUGAAAGCGACAGACACUGCCAAUCAAUCACAUUAUCUAUAAGUUCACCAAAUACAUAAACACAUUAACUUCACCAAAACAAAUCUUAUUCUUGAGCUCAUCCCCUAUGAUUCACCCCUUAAAUAAUUUCCAAUAAAAUGCUGCCACAUCAUAUUAUGUUUAUGAAAACAAAAAAAAAUAGAAAAUAAUAUUAAUUACCAAAAGAAAUUGACUUUAUAAAACUGUAAACCCUAAACCUUAUAACCUAAGUUGUAAACCCUAAACCCUAGGAUUAACACUUAACCCUAUAUCUCAAAUUAUAAACACUGAACCCUAAACCCUAAUAUAGUCCCUAAGCUUUAAGGUUAUCCCUAAACUCUAGGGUUUAGAGUUUAUAGUCUGGAAUUUUUAGGGUUAAGGGUAUUGUUGAUGGCAUUUACGAUUUAGAGUUAACUCUUUUUUCGUAGAAGGAGCAGGAUGAAGAGAAAAAUCUAAACCCUAAACGCUCUCAUCAAAAUUAUAAAUCCUAAACUCUAAACUUGAAUAUUUAAAGUUAACCCUAGGGUUUAGGGAUAACCCUAGAGUUUAGGAAUACUCUUAGGGUUUAGGGAUAAUCCUAAGGUUUAGGAUUUAGAGUUUACGGUCUAGUAUUUAGAAUUUGAGCUAUAGGGUCAAGUGUUAACCUUAGGGUUUAGGGUUUAAAUUUGAAUUAUAAGAUUUGGAGUUUAGAGUUUUAUAAUGUCAAUUUUUUUUGGCAACUAUUAUUAUUUUUUAUUUUCUAAAUUUUUUUAUCAAUAAGAUACGACGUGACAACAUUUUAUUGGUUAUCACUUAAGGGGGUGAACCUAUAAAUUUAACCCUAGAAUAACUAAAAAAGGCACAUUAACUUGACCGAACACAAACACAUUUUCUGUCAAGUUCAGAAUGCUAUCUCAACCAGUAUAUCCAUUUUUUUUUUAUAUUCUUGCAGGUUAAUGUUGUAGCUUAUGAUGAGUGAAGAUAAUAGGGAAAAUUUAAUUAAAAUAUCCCAACUAAUUUUAUUAAGCUUUUUAAUAUCCGAUUUUUUGGUAUCCAGUUUAAUAUUCUAAUAAUUAUUUUGUUCAUUUUAAUACAUAAACUUUUAAAACUGUACCCCUUUGAAUAUCCAAAUUUUGUUUAUUUUAAUUGAAAAUACUACUAAGUUUCAAACGAAAUUUAAAAAACCUCUAAAAUAUAACAAAAAUAUUAAUUUUUUAUAAAACAUUUAGGAAAUUAGGUAAAGAAACUAGUGAGAAAAUUUUAAUUUUGAAGGAAAACAAAUAAAGUUUUUUUCAUUUUUAAAAAACAAACGAAAUUCAAUAUUUAAAACUUAAAACUUUAUUACAAAAUUUAAGGUUAUAUACAGUUUAGUCACUUUUAUUUUUCAAACAGAAAAUAAAACUAAAAUUUUCUGAGAUUUGUUUUGUAAAUCUUAUAGAUUUUUAAAUUUUGUUUGAAAUCUAAAAAACAUUUUGACUAAAAAAUUGGGUAUUAAAAUGGACAUAAUUUUAAAAGUUGUAAAAAUAAUUAGUAUAAACUGGAUAACAAAAAAAAAUUAGAUAUUAAAAAGCUUAACAAAAUUUAGUUGGAGUAUUUUUACGGAAUUUUCCCACGAUAAUAUGAUCAUUGGUAUGCUUUUACCAUGGUAAAUUACAUUUUGAUUCAGAUCUAAACCGUUUAUAGUGAAUUAUAUAAAACGAUUUAAAUCUAACCUUGAGUUUUAAAAAACAACUAGAUUAUGACCCGCGCUAAAGCACGGAAUAAUGUUUUUAAAAAACUUUAUAUAAUCGCAUUUUUUCUUUAUUUAAAGUAGGUUUUGCCAUGAAUCUGUAAACCAAAGUCCGUAUCAAAUUCAAACAAACAAAAAAAUGAUCAGUACCUGGUCCAAAAUAUAAAAAUCCCAGAAUAGGUAUUGUAGAGUAGUUGACCACAUAUCGAAUUCAAAGCUUUAUUAGCCGAACCCGAACGGGCAACAGAAGAAACCAAAAAAAUCCAAAAAACCGAUCCGAAAGUCCAAAUUAAUCAUAAAUAUAAAUCUUUGAAA